GGGGGGGGGGGGGGGGGGGGGGGGCGCGGGCGGGGCGGGGGGUGGGUGGUCGUCGGGGGGGAGAGAGCGGCGCACGGGUGCGGGACACGUGUGCAACCUGCCUUUAUCUGGGGGAUGGCCUUUCGAAGGGAAGAUUAAUACCCAAUAAUAUAUUGAGUGGCAUCACUGGAUAUUGAAAACUCCGGUGGAUAGAGAUGGGCACGCGCAAGAUUAGAUAGUUGGUGAGGUAACGGCUCACCAAGUCAAUGAUCUUUAGGGGGCCUGAGAGGGUGAUCCCCCACACUGGUACUGAGACACGGACCAGACUCCUACGGGAGGCAGCAGUGAGGAAUAUUGGACAAUGGGUUAGCGCCUGAUCCAGCCAUCCCGCGUGAAGGACGACGGCCCUAUGGGUUGUAAACUUCUUUUGUAUAGGGAUAAACCUACUCUCGUGAGAGUAGCUGAAGGUACUAUACGAAUAAGCACCGGCUAACUCCGUG
rnacentral:rRNA from 1 species